rnacentral:rRNA from 1 species
AAAUUGAAGAGUUUGAUCAUGGCUCAGAUUGAACGCUGGCGGCAGGCCUAACACAUGCAAGUCGAACGGUAACAGGAAGCAGCUUGCUGCUUCGCUGACGAGUGGCGGACGGGUGAGUAAUGUCUGGGAAACUGCCUGAUGGAGGGGGAUAACUACUGGAAACGGUAGCUAAUACCGCAUAACGUCGCAAGACCAAAGAGGGGGACCUUCGGGCCUCUUGCCAUCGGAUGUGCCCAGAUGGGAUUAGCUUGUUGGUGGGGUAAUGGCUCACC